rnacentral:rRNA from 1 species
CCAGCAGCCGCGGUAAUUCCAGCUCCAAUAGCGUAUAUUAAUUCUGUUGUGGUUAAAAAGCUCGUAGUUGGAUCUCGGCGGGCAGGGGGCGGUCCGUUUUCUGACGCGACUGCCCCGUUUGCUCGUGUUGACUCCGGCGGAGUCGGCCGGGUGCUCUUUGCUGAGUGUCCGGUCGGGCCGCCAGGUUUACUUUGAAAAAAUUAGAGUGCUCCAAGCAGGCCGCAUACGCCUGAAUACUCGUGCAUGGAAUAAUGGAAUAGGACGUCGUUCCUAUUUUGUUGGUUUUCGGGAAUCGACGUAAUGAUUAAUAGGGACAGCCGGGGGCAUUAGUAUUCAGACGACAG